AAUUAAGAGAAAAAUGUAUGUGAUGAAAAAUAUUUUUAAAGACUUUGUGUUAAAAAAUUGGAUCAAAAUGAGUGAGAAAUUAAAUGGGAAAGAAAUGAAAUAAAAGAAAAGAAAAUAAAAAUAGAAAAUAGGGCACCAACGGCUACUAAGUUUAAAAAAAUGUGAUGGCGUUGUGUGAUUGGUUGAGAUUCAAAGUUGGCACCAAAACACGCGCAACCAGACUUUGUCUUCAACCUUCAGCUUGAUUUGGCAAAUCC
rnacentral:lncRNA from 1 species